rnacentral:rRNA from 1 species
CCUACGGGCGGCAGCAGUGGGGAAUAUUGCACAAUGGGGGCAACCCUGAUGCAGCGACGCCGCGUGAGUGAAGAAGUAUUUCGGUAUGUAAAGCUCUAUCAGCAGGGAAGAAAAUGAAGGUACCUGAUUAAGAAGCACCGGAUAACUACGUGCCAGCAGCCGCGGUACUACGUAGGGUGCAGGCGUUAUCCGGAUUUACCGGGUGUAAAGGGAGCGUAUACGGCCGCACAAGUCUGGAGUGAAAUGCCGGGGCUUAACCCCGGAACUGCUUUGGAAACUGUGCAGCUAGAGUGCAGGUGAGGUAAGUGGAAUUCCUAGUGUAGCGGUGAAAUGCGUAGAUAUUA